rnacentral:rRNA from 1 species
CCUACGGGUGGCAGCAGUAGGGAAUCUUUCACAAUGGGCGAAAGCCUGAUGGAGCAACGCCGCGUGCAGGAUGAAGGCCUUCGGGUUGUAAACUGCUUUUAUAAGCGAGCAAUAUGAUGGUAACUUAUGAAUAAGGAUCGGCUAACUACGUGCCAGCAGCCGCGGUCAUACGUAGGAUCCGAGCAUUAUCCGGAGUUACUGGAGGUAAAGAGUUGCGUAGGUGGCAUAAUAAGUAGCUAGUGAAAUCUGGUGGCUCAACCAUUCAGACUAUUAGCUAACCUGUUAAGCUCGAGACCGUUAGGGGUAACUGGAAUUUCUAGUGUAGGAGUGAAAUCCGUAGAUAUUAGAAGGAACACCAAUAGCGUAGGCAGGUUGCUGGGACGGUUCUGACACUAAGGCACGAAAGCGUAGGGAGCAAACGGGAUUAGAUACCCCAGUAGUC